rnacentral:lncRNA from 1 species
GAGAAGUUGGAGAACAAGGUUUAAUGGGGUUUCAAGGAUUCCCAGGUCCAAAAGGUCCUGCAGGGGACAUUGGCUUAGUUGGAAUUCGGGGCCCAAAAGGUCCAACAGGCCAAGUUGGAUAUAUUGGCCCUGCUGGUCAAGAAGGCAUAACAGGACCAACUGGCAGGCCUGUAAGUUUCUCUUCUCUUUUGCAUAAUUUGGUUAUUUCACCUACCCUUAUUUUUAAUAAUCUGGUUGCAACUAGUGAUCUCCU